GACGAACGCUGGCGGCGUGCUUAACACAUGCAAGUCGAACGGAAAGGCCCUGCUUUUGUGGGGUGCUCGAGUGGCGAACGGGUGAGUAACACGUGAGUAACCUGCCCUUGACUUUGGGAUAACUUCAGGAAACUGGGGCUAAUACCGGAUAGGAGCUCCUGCUGCAUGGUGGGGGUUGGAAAGUUUCGGCGGUUGGGGAUGGACUCGCGGCUUAUCAGCUUGUUGGUGGGGUAGUGGCUUACCAAGGCUUUGACGGGUAGCCGGCCUGAGAGGGUGACCGGCCACAUUGGGACUGGGAUACGGCCCGGACUCCUACGGGAGGCAGCAUUGGGGAAUAUUGCACAAUGGGCGGAAGCCUGAUGCAGCAACGCCGCGUGCGGGAUGCCGGCCUUCGGUUUGUAAACCGCUUUCGCCUGUGACGAGGCGUGAGUGACGGUAAUGGGUAAAGAAGCACCGGCUAACUACGUG
rnacentral:rRNA from 1 species